UUAAGGGGUGCCCGUUGCAUUGGCGGGCUGAGAUCAGACCCUCUGACCUGAACAGGGUAAUGCCUGCGUAGGGAUUAACG
rnacentral:ncRNA from 1 species